GACGAACGCUGGCGGCGUGCCUAAUACAUGCAAGUCGAACGCAGUGGGGACGGGUGAGUAACACGUGGGUAACCUCCCAUCAGAGGGGAUAACACUUGGAAACAGGUGCUAAACCGAUACUGAUGGAUGGACCCGCGGUGCAUUAGCUAGUUGGUGAGGUAACGACUUACCAAGUCCACGAUGCAUAGGCGCACUGAGAGGGUGAUCGGCCACACAGGUACUGAGACACGGCCCAGACGCCUACGGGAGUCAGCAGUAGGGAAUCUGCGGCAAGGGACGAAAGUCUGACCGAGCAACGCCGCGUGAGUGAAGAAGGUUUUCGGAUCGUAAAACUCUGUUGUUAGAGAAGCGGUAGCUAACCAGAAAGCCACGUCUAACUACGUGCCAGCAGCCGCGGUAAUAC
rnacentral:rRNA from 1 species